AUUGAACGCUGGCGGCAUGCCUUACACUUGCAAGUCGAACGGUAACGGGUUAAGCUGACGAGUGGCGAACGGGUGAGUAAUACAUCGGAACGUGCCCAGACGUGGGGGAUAGCUCGGCGAAAGCCGGAUUAAUACCGCAUAAGCUCUGAGGAGGAAAGCGGGGGACCGUAAGGCCUCGCGCGUUUGGAGCGGCCGAUGGCAGAUUAGGUAGUUGGUGGGGUAAAGGCUUACCAAGCCUACGAUCUGUAGCUGGUCUGAGAGGACGACCAGCCACACUGGGACUGAGACACGGCCCAGACUCCUACGGGAGGCAGCAGUGGGGAAUUUUGGACAAUGGGCGAAAGCCUGAUCCAGCAAUGCCGCGUGCAGGAUGAAGGCCUUCGGGUUGUAAACUGCUUUUGUACGGAACGAAAAGGCGCCUACUAAUACUGGGUGUUGAUGACGGUACCGUAAGAAUAAGCACCGGCUAACUACGUGCCAGCAGCCGCGGUAA
rnacentral:rRNA from 1 species